GAUGAACGCUGGCGGCGUGCCUAAUACAUGCCAGUCGAGCGAACAGACGAGGAGCUUGCUCCUCUGACGUUAGCGGCGGACGGGUGAGUAACACGUGGAUAACCUACCUAUAAGACUGGGAUAACUUCGGGAAACCGGAGCUAAUACCGGAUAAUAUAUUGAACCGCAUGGUUCAAUAGUGAAAGACGGUUUUGCUGUCACUUAUAGAUGGAUCCGCGCCGCAUUAGCUAGUUGGUAAGGUAACGGCUUACCAAGGCGACGAUGCGUAGCCGACCUGAGAGGGUGGUCGGCCACACUGGAACUGAGACGCGGUCCAGACUCCUGCGGGAGGCAGCAAUAGGGAAGCUUCCGCAAUGGGCGAAAGCCUGGCGGAGCAACGCCGCGUGAGUGAUGAAGGUCUUCGAAUCGUAAAACUCUGUUAUUAGGGAAAAACAAAUGUGUAAGUAACUAUGCACGUCUUGACGGUACCUAAUCAGAAAGCCACGGCUAACUACGUG
rnacentral:rRNA from 1 species